rnacentral:rRNA from 1 species
AGCUGAGCGGUGUAAGGUAGGGUAUAUUAGCCUUUUAUUGGAGGCCAGUGAAUGGCAAGACUGGGAACACCUUUACUUUACGUAUAAAAAAAACUUUUCGUCUAAGUGAAAAGACUUAGAUGGCAAAGGAAGACGAAAAGACCCCGCGGAGCUUUACCUUUUCUUGUUCUUCCGUCCAUGCACUUAAAGAUAUUAAGGUUUGAUUGGGGCAAUCUUGGAACCAACAACAAAGCUUCCGAAUUUUAUAAAAUAUUCAUUCAAAACUUAAUAAGGACCAAAAAGAAGCUACCCCGGGGAUAACAGCGUAAUCCAAUCAAGAAGUACAUAUCGAAAGUUGGGUUUGCGACCUCGAUGUUGGCUUAAGGAUAUCCACAUUGGUGCAACCGCCAUGACAGGAUAGUCUGUUCGACUAUUAUACCCUUACACGAGCUGAGUUAAGACCGGCGCAAGCUAGGUUGGUUUCUAUCUCCUUUAUACAAAAUCUUUUCUUGAUGUACGAAGACC